AGAGUUUGAUCAUGGCUCAGGAUGAACGCUAGCGGCAGGCUUAAUACAUGCAAGUUGAGGGGCAGCAUGAUAUACGUAAGUAUAUUGAUGGCGACCGGCGGACGGGUGAGUAAAAGGUAGGAGACCUACCUCAUACAGGGGGAUAGCAUAGAGAAAUCUGUGGUAAUACCCCAUGAGGUUAUAUGAAUAGAGGCAUAUAAUCAAAGUAUACGAGAGUAUGCGGUAUGAGAUGGGCCUACUGACCAUUAGCUAGUUGGUGAGGUAAGGGCUCACCAAGGCGAAGAUGGUUAGGGGUUUUGAGAGAGAGAUCCCCCACAUUGGAACUGAGAUACGGUCCAGACUCCUACGGGAGGCAGCAGUAGGGAAUAUUGGGCAAUGGGCGGAAGCCUGACCCAGCCAUGCCGCGUGAAGGAAGACGGCCUUAUGGGUUGUAAACUUCUUUACUAUACGAAUAGAGGUUAGUACGAGUUACUAAUAGGAAGGUAGUAUAGCAAAAAGCACCGGCUAACUCCGUGCCAGCAGCCGCGGUAAU
rnacentral:rRNA from 1 species